rnacentral:rRNA from 1 species
AUUGAACGCUGGCGGCAUGCUUUACACAUGCAAGUCGAACGGCAGCGCGGGCUUCGGCCUGGCGGCGCGUGGCGAACGGGUGAGUGAUACACCGGAACGUGCCCAGCAGUUGGGGCUGGGUCGACGAAAGCCGGAUUGAUACCGCAUAGGACCUGAUGUUGAAAGCGGGGGUUCUUUAGAGCUCGCGGUAUUUGAGCGCCCGAGGGCAGAUUAGCUAGUUGGUAGGGUAAGGGCCUACCAAGGCGACGAUCCGUAGCCGACCUGAGAGGCCGACCUGCCACACUGGAACUGAGACACGGUCCAGACUCCUACGGGAGGCAGCAGUAGGGAAUUUUGGGCAAUGGGCGAAAGCCUGAUCGAGCAAUGCCGCGUGUGUGAUGAAGGUCUUCGGGUCGUAAAGCACUGUUGGUGGGGAAGAAAAAGAGUGUAAGUAAACAUCGACGUGUUGACGGUACCCGCAGAAAAAGCACCGGCUAACUACGUG